CCUUCAGUAAUGGCGAAUGAACGGGGAAAAGCUCAGCAAAGAAAUCGAGGACUCCCGGCCUUGAGUUGUGGACUUGAGAGGUAUCGCCAAUGGUGGCACAGGUGGGGGCCUCUUGGAAAAGGGCACCACAGAGGGUGUGAGUCCUGUUUGCCAUCUGUAGUCCGCUGUGUACGGCAUGCCUCCUCCGAGUCACGUUCCUUGGAAUUGGAGCGCGAAGGUGGUGGUGGCUUUCAUCUCAAGCUAAGUAUGGGUUCGAGACCGAUAGCAAACAAGUACCAUGAGGGAAAAUUGAAAAGAGCUUUGGAAAGAGAGUUAAAAGUGCCCGAACUUGCUGAUAGGGAAGCGAAGGGAGCUGACGUUGCUUGGUAACAUCUUCCGCGCAGGACUAGGAUGGGUUCUGAUUGCAAUGUGUGUUGUGUUUCUUGCCAUGCGUGUCAAUGCCAAGUAAUGAGUGGGGAGAGCUCCAGGGAUAAUGAUUGUUUCUGUCCCCGGGUAGACGAAUAUGUCUGGGUGCAUCCAUUUGUGGGCUGAAAAAUUGGUGGUUGGUUGCAGCUCCCUGCCUACGAGGCAAUUGGGGUGUAGCCCUGACACGCAGACGAGGACAAAGUGCUUCUGUUCGACCCGUCUUGAAACACGGACCAAGGAGUCUGACACUCAUGCAAGCUCGUUGGUGGGUAAACUUCUUUGCGUAAUUAAGGUGUCUGUUGUGAUUUGUGCACCAACGCCCGACCAAUCAAUUGAGAGAGGUUUGAGUGUGAGCAUUUCUGUCAGGACCCGAAAGAUGGUGAACUAUGCUUGAGAAGGGUAAAUUCAGGGGAAACUCUGAUUGAGGCUCGUAGCGAUACUGACGUGCAAAUCGUUC
rnacentral:rRNA from 1 species